GGAAGCUUACUCAAGUGGUUUAAGAGACUAGUCUUGAAAACUAGGAGGCGGUUAAUAACCGUGCCAGAGUUCGAAUCUCUGAGCUUCCGCCA
rnacentral:tRNA from 1 species